rnacentral:rRNA from 1 species
UGCAGUCGAGCGGUAACAGGAACUCUUGCUGCUUCGCUGACGAUGGCGGACGGGUGAGUAAUGUCUGGGAAACUGCCUGAUGGAGGGGGAUAACUACUGGAAACGGUAACUAAUACCGCAUAACGUCGCAAGACCGGGAGGGGGACCUUCGGGCCUCUUGCCAUCGGAUGUGCCCAGAUGGGAUUAUCUAGUAGGUGGGGUAACGGCUCGCCUAGGCGACGAUCCCUACCUGGACUGAGAGGAUGACCACCCACACUGGAACUGAGACCCGACCCCUACUCCUACGGGAGGCGGCGAGGGGAAUAUUGGACAAUGGGCGCGAUCCUGAUGCGCCCAUGCCGCGUGUAUGAACAACGCCUUCGGGUUGUAUAGUACUUUCAGCGGGGAGGAAGGGAGUAAAGUUAAUACCUUUGCUCAUUGACGUUACCCGCAGAACAAGCACCGGCUAACUCCGUGCCCGCAGCCGCGGUAAUACGGAGGGUGCAAGCGUUAAUCGGAAUUACUGGGCGUAAAGCGCACGCAGGCGGUUUGUUAAAUCAGAUGUGAAAUCCCCGGGCUCAACCUGUGGAACUGCAUCUGAUACUGCUAAAGCUUGAGUCUCGUAGAGGGGGGUAGAAUUCCAGGUGUAGCGGUGCAAAUGAUAUAGAGAUCUGACAGGAAUACCGGUGGCGAACCGCGCUGCCACCUGAUACUAACACUGACGCUGCAGAAUAGCGAAGAGCGUGCAGAGCAAAUCUAGGAUUCCCAUGACUCCUGGC